CUGCUAUCGGAUUGAUACUAAGCCAUGCGAGUCUUUGUAGUAAUACAAGGCAGACGGCUCAGUAACACGUAGUCAACCUACCCUAUGGACAAGAAUAAUCUCGGGAAACUGGGCAUAAUUCUUGAUAGAUCAUAAUGCCUGGAAUGGUUUAUGGUUAAAAUGAUUCGUCGCCAUAGGAUGGGACUGCGGCCUAUCAGCUUGUUGGUGAGGUAAUGGCCCACCAAGGCGAUUACAGGUACGGGCUCUGAGAGGAGAAGCCCGGAGAUGGGUACUGAGACACGGACCCAGGCCCUAUGGGGCGCAGCAGGCGAGAAAACUUUGCAAUGUGCGAAAGCACGACAAGGUUAAUCCGAGUGAUUUCUGCUAAAGAAAUCUUUUGCCAGUCAUAAAACCACUGGUGAAUAAGGGGUGGGCAAGUUCUGGUGUCAGCCGCCGCGGUAAAACCAGCACCUCAAGUGGUCAGGAUGAUUAUUGGGCCUAAAGCAUCCGUAGCCGGCUUUGUAAGUUUUCGGUUAAAUCCAUGUGCUCAACGCAUGGGCUGCCGAAAAUACUGCAUGGCUAGGGAGUGGGAGAGGUAGACGGUACUCAGUAGGAAGGGGUAAAAUCCUUUGAUCUAUUGAUGACCACCUGUGGCGAAGGCGGUCUACCAGAACACGUUCGACGGUGAGGGAUGAAAGCUGGGGGAGCAAACCGGAUUAGAUACCCGGGUAGUCCCAGCUGUAAACGAUGCAGACCCGAUGAUGCAUUGGCAUAAUAGCCAGUGCAGUGUCGCAGGGAAGCCGUUAAGUCUGCCGCCUGGGAAGUACGUACGCGAGUAUGAAACUUAAAGGAAUUGGCGGGGAGCACCACAAGGGGUGAAGCCUGCGGUUCA
rnacentral:rRNA from 1 species